AUAGUUUUUACGGGUUUCAUCACAAUGCGAACUUAAAACGUUUAUAUAUAUAAAAUAAAAAUCACAGCUACAUGGUGGGCGAGUGUACCUAUGCAGGUGCGUAUAGAGUAGAUGCGUGUGUGUGUGUGUGUGUGUGUGUAUGUGUAUGUGUGUGUAAUGUGUGACUACAGGGACUGCAGAGUGGAAGAUGUGGGGAGGGAAUACCCGGGGAAGGAAGAAGGGUACGGUCAAAAUCAAUAAGCGAACCGGAGUGGGUUUUGCGUGUGGUGUGUGUACGAAAUGAACGGC